rnacentral:rRNA from 1 species
CAACCCUCAAGCUUAGCUUGGUAUUGGGCUUCGUCAGUAAAAUGACGGGCUUUAAAAUCAGUGGCGGCGCAUAGGCCCUGAACGUAGUAAUAUAUUUCGUUAUAGGUGUCUAGUGUGCUUCUGCCAUUAAACCCCAAUUUUUAUGGU